rnacentral:rRNA from 1 species
AUUGAACGCUGGCGGCAUGCCUUACACAUGCAAGUCGAACGGUAACGCGGGGCAACCUGGCGACGAGUGGCGAACGGGUGAGUAAUAUAUCGGAACGUGCCAUAGAGUGGGGGAUAACUAGUCGAAAGACUAGCUAAUACCGCAUACGAUCUAAGGAUGAAAGUGGGGGAUCGCAAGACCUCACGCUCUUUGAGCGGCCGAUAUCUGAUUAGCUAGUUGGUAGGGUAAAAGCCUACCAAGGCGACGAUCAGUAGCUGGUCUGAGAGGACGACCAGCCACACUGGGACUGAGACACGGCCCAGACUCCUACGGGAGGCAGCAGUGGGGAAUUUUGGACAAUGGGGGCGAACCCUGAUCCAGCAAUGCCGCGUGAGUGAAGAAGGCCUGGU